rnacentral:snoRNA from 1 species
UUGCACAAGCAAGCUAGGGAGGGCUUCGCGAGAGUUAAAAAAUGGCGACGCCCCAGCCGCUAUUGUGCAUAAAGGGAAAGCUGAGCUGUAGUCAGCGGCGGCCAGACAACCGCUGAGAUGGAUCCACAGAUGGAUUCUUUCAAAAUAGGACUUGUCUACUAAUUCCAUCUCACAUUU